rnacentral:lncRNA from 1 species
CGGGGUUCCAAUUGCGUGCGCGUAUGGAUGCUCCUUUCGCCGCCGCCUUUCUAGCAACUAGUUGAUGUUAUGAUGCAUCGUUGGUCCGGUGUACGACGGCGCCUGGUGCGAUUUAUGCGUCCGGAAGCCCUUUCAGCCUCCAGGCAUGUCCCCACCUGCCUCACAGCCACCGACGCAUCUCACGGCGGGGGUCUAAUUGCGUGCGCGUAUGGAUGCUCCUUUCGCCGCCUUUCUAGCAACUAGUUGAUGUUAUGAUGCAUCGUUGGUCCGGUGUACGACGGCGCCUGAUGCGAUUUAUGCGUCCGGAAGCCCUUUCAGCCUCCAGGCAUGUCCCCACCUGCCUCACAGCCACCGACGCAUCUCACGGCGGGGUUCCAAUUGCGUGCGCGUAUGGAUGCUCCUUUCGCCGCCGCCUUUCCAGCAACUAGUUGAUGUUAUGAUGCAUCGUUGGUCCGGUGUACGACGGCGCCUGGUGCGAUUUAUGCGUCCGGAAGCCCUUUCAGCCUCCAGGCAUGUCCCCACCUGCCUCAUAGCCACCGACGCAUCUCACGGCGGGGUUCCAAUUGCGUGCGCGUAUGGAUGCUCCUAUUCGCCGCCGCCUUUCUAGCAACUAGUUGAUGUUAUGAUGCAUCGUUGGUCCGGUGUACGACGGCGCCUGAUGCGAUUUAUGCGUCCGGAAGCCCUUUCAGCCUCCAGGCAUGUCCCCACCUGCCUCACAGCGACCGAGGCAUCUCACGGCGGGGGUCUAAUUGCGUGCGCGUAUGGAUGCUCCUUUCCCCGCCGCCUUUCUAGCAACUAGUUGAUGUUAUGAUGCAUCGUUGGUCCGGCGUAUGACGGCGCCUGGUGCGAUUUAGGCGUCCGGAAGCCCUUUCAGCCUCCAGGCAUGUCCCCACCUGCCUCACAGCCACCGACGCAUCUCACGGCGGGGGUCUAAUUGCGUGCGCGUAUGGAUGCUCCUUUCCCCGCCGCCUUUCUAGCAACUAGUUGAUGUUAUGAUGCAUCGUUGGUCCGGCGUACGACGGCGCCUGAUGCGAUUUAUGCGUCCGGAAGCCCUUUCAGCCUCCAGGCAUGACCCCACCUGCCUCACAGCUACCGAGGCAUCUCACGGCGGGGGUCCAAUUGCGUGCGCGUAUGGAUGCUCCUUUCCCCGCCGCCUUUCUAGCAACUAGUUGAUGUUAUGAUGCAUCGUUGGUCCAGUGUACGACGGCGCCUGAUGCGAUUUAUGCGUCCGGAAGCCCUUUCAGCCUCCAGGCAUGUCCCCACCUGCCUCACAGCCACCGACGCAUCUCACGGCGGGGUUCCAAUUGUGUGCGCGUAUGGAUGCUCCUUUCCCCGCCGCCU